rnacentral:rRNA from 1 species
UACGUAGGGGGCAAGCGUUGUCCGGAUUUAUUGGGCGUAAAGAGCGUGUAGGCGGCCUGAAAGGUCAGCUGUGAAAACUCGAGGCUCAACCUCGAGACGUCGGUUGAAACCAUCUGGCUAGAGUCCGGAAGAGGAGCGUGGAAUUCCCGGUGUAGCGGUGAAAUGCGCAGAUAUCGGGAAGAACACCGGUGGCGAAGGCGGGUCUCUGGGCCGUAACUGACGCUGAGGAGCGAAAGCGUGGGGAGCGAACAGG